rnacentral:lncRNA from 1 species
AUUUGAUUGAAUUGUGGGAAUGAUAAAAAUGAUGAUGUUAAACCCAUGAAAUUUGAUUGAAUUGUGGGAAUGAUGAAAAUGAUGAUGUUAAACCCAUGAAAUUUGAUUGAAUUGUGGGAAUAAAUGAAAAUAUUGUUGUUAAAACCAUGAAAUUUGAUUGAAUUAUGUGAAUGAUGAAAAUUUUGUUGUUAAACUUAUAAAAUUUGAUUGAAUUGUCGGAAUGAUGAAAAUGCUGAUGUUAAACCCAUGAAAUUUGAUUGACUUGUGUGAAUAAUGGAAAUGUUAUUGUUAAAACCAUAAAAUUUGAUUGAAUUGUGGGAAUGAUAA